GAGCGGGAAUUUCAACGUUUAAAUACGAUCCGCCAUAAAGUACGUAGUCAUAUUCACGACAAAACCUCCUAGGAUCAAACUCAGUACUUUACCCAGCCAGGAAGUAAGCAUGAAGUUUACAACACUUUUCAUGAUGGUGGUAGCAGUUCUGACGCUGUUCUUCGGUGCCAGUUACGCCAAUACAGAUGAAUUUCCAAAGCCAGUGCAGGUGAAGAAACUCCCUAGAGAUCACAGGAUUUCAGGUCAGCAGCUCAGUACGCCGAAGCAGGAUCACUAAGUGAAGAAUUUUUAAUUAAUAAAGAAAACAAAUAGUUUUGUCAUUUUGGAGAGGUUUAUUUAGAAUACAUUCAAAAUACAUAAUU